rnacentral:rRNA from 1 species
GCGACCCCAGGAUGGGCGAGGCCACCCGCUGAGUUUAAGCAUAUCAGUAAGCGGAGGAGAAUAAACUUACGAGGAUUCCCCUAUUAACGCAAGCACGGGGGG